AUUGAACGCUGGCGGCAUGCCUUACACAUGCAAGUCGAACGGUAACAGGUCUUCGGACGCUGACGAGUGGCGAACGGGUGAGUAAUACAUCGGAACGUGCCCAGUCGUGGUGGAUAACUACUCGAAAGAGUAGCUAAUACCGCAUACGAUCUGAGGAUGAAAGCGGGGGACCUUCGGGCCUCGCGCGAUUGGAGCGGCCGAUGGCGGAGUAGGUAGUUGGUGGGAUAAAAGCUUACCAAGCCGACGCUCUGUAGCUGGUCUGAGAGGACGACCAGCCACACGGGGACUGAGACACCGCCCAGACUCCUACGGGAGUCAGCAGUGGGGAAUUUUGGGCAAUGGUCGGAAGCCUGAUCCAGCAAUGCCACGUGCAGGAUGAAGGCCUUCGGGUUGUGAACUGCUUUUGUACGAAAAGAAAAAGCUCCUUCUAGUACAGGGGGCCCAUGACGGUACCGUAAGAAUAAGCACCGGCUAACUACGUGCCAGCAGCCGCCGUAACAC
rnacentral:rRNA from 1 species